rnacentral:rRNA from 1 species
ACCAUGGAAGUUGGUUGCACCAGACGUCAGUUGUCUAACCCCUCGGGGAGGACGCUGCCCACGGUGUGAUCAAUGACUGGGGUGAAGUCGUAACAAGGUAGCCCUAGGGGAACCUGGGGCUGGAUCACCUCCUUUAA